AAGCAGGAAGCCCUCCCACAAAAGCAGGCGGCCCUCCGGUACGGAAAGCAGGCGGCCCUCACUCUUGGAAAGCAGGCGGCCCUCACUUGGGGAAAGCAGGAAGCCCUCAGCAGCAGAAAGCAAGCGGACCUCGCUUGGGGAAAGCAGGAGGCCCUCAGGAACAGAAAGCAAGCGGCCCUCAGGGGCAGAAAGCAAGCGGCCCUCAAGGGCAGAAAGCAGGCGGUCUUCAAAGUCAGGCCAGCAGACCCCAGUGGUACAGGAGGAGACCUCGGAGUCAGAAAGCAAGCACACUUCAGGGGUAGAAGCAGAGACCUCAGAGACAGAAGGCAAGCAGAUUUUAGAGGCCCAAGGUGAGGAGAUCUUAGAGGCCCAAGGUGAGGAGAUCUCAGGAGUAGAAGGGGAGGAGACCUCUGGGCCAGAAGCCCCGCAAACCUCAGAAGAUCAGCCGACCUCAGAGGCAGAAGAGGAUCUGACCUCAGAAGUAGAAGGCCAGCCGACCUCAGGGCAAGAAGGCCAGCAGAUCUCAGGGCCAGAAGGCCAGUUGACCUCAGAGGCAGAAGGCCAGCAAACUUCAGGGGCAGAAGGGGAGUUGACCUCAGAGGCAGAAGGCCAGCAGGCCUCAGGAGCAGAAGGUGAGCUGACCUCAGAGGCAGAAGGCCAGCAGGCCUCAGGAGCAGAAGGUGAGCUGACCUCAGAGGCAGAAGGCCAGCAGGCCUCAGGGGCAGAAGGCGAGCUGACCUCUGGGCCAGAAGACCAGGUGACCCCAGGAGCAGAAGAGGAGCUGGCCUCAGAGGCAGAAGGCCAGCAGGCCUCAGCGGCAGAAGGUGAGCUGACCUCAGAGGCAGAAGGCCAGCAGGCCUCAGCGGCAGAAGGUGAGCUGACCUCAGAGGCAGAAGGCCCGCAGGCCUCAGUGGCAGAAGACGAGCUGACCUCUGGGCCAGAAGGCCAGGUGACUCCAGGGGCAGAAGAGGAGCUGGCCUCCACGCUAGAAGGCCAGGUGACCUCAGGAACAGAAGGCGAGCUGACCUCAGGAGCAGAAUUUGAUCAGCUUCUGGCCACAGAAGAUGAGCAGACUUUAGGUGUGAAGACUCCUGAAGGUGAUGAGCUCCUGGACCACGGCAAAGCCUUAUGGCUGGUGAUUGAAGGGGUCGCAAAGAGCAAAGACCAAGAACUGACUGAGGAACUUCCAAAAGAAGAAGGGUCAGAAGGUUACGAAAAGAAGAAAUCAUUAUCUGCUGAGAAAAGUAACCCUACCGAAAAGAGUGAGACACAAUUCUCAGAAACCAAGUUUGAGAACGCCACGGAUAACACAGCCGACGUAGCCAAUGAAGGAGAAGAAGCCAACAGGAAGACGAGCCCUAUAAAAGCCCAAGAAAUGAUGGAAGGAGAGCAGCCUGGUCAAGGGGCUGAGGAAAAGAAAGAAAUCCUCCAGGGCGGGGAGG
rnacentral:lncRNA from 1 species